rnacentral:rRNA from 1 species
UUUUGCUAUCACUUAUAGAUGGACCCGCGCCGUAUUAGCUAGUUGGUAAGGUAACGGCUUACCAAGGCGACGAUACGUAGCCGACCUGAGAGGGUGAUCGGCCACACUGGAACUGAGACACGGUCCAGACUCCUACGGGAGGCAGCAGUAGGGAAUCUUCCGCAAUGGGCGAAAGCCUGACGGAGCAACGCCGCGUGAGUGAUGAAGGGUUUCGGCUCGUAAAACUCUGUUAUUAGGGAAGAACAAACGUGUAAGUAACUGUGCACGUCUUGACGGUACCUAAUCAGAAAGCCACGGCUAACUACGUGCCAGCAGCCGCGGUAAUACGUAGGUGGCAAGCGUUAUCCGGAAUUAUUGGGCGUAAAGCGCGCGUAGGCGGUUUCUUAAGUCUGAUGUGAAAGCCCACGGCUCAACCGUGGAGGGUCAUUGGAAACUGGGAAACUUGAGUGCAGAAGAGGAAAGUGGAAUUCCAUGUGUAGCGGUGAAAUGCGCAGAGAUAUGGAGGAACACCAGUGGCGAAGGCGACUUUCUGGUCUGUAACUGACGCUGAUGUGCGAAAGCGUGGGGAUCAAACAGGAUUAGAUACCCUGGUAGUCCACGCCGUAAACGAUGAGUGCUAAGUGUUAGG